CUGGCGGCGUGCUUAACACAUGCAAGUCGAACGAUGACUUCUGUGCUUGCACAGAAUGAUUAGUGGCGAACGGGUGAGUAACACGUGAGUAACCUGCCCUUAACUUCGGGAUAAGCCUGGGAAACCGGGUCUAAUACCGGAUACGACCUCCUGGCGCAUGCCAUGGGGGUGGAAAGCUUUAUGCGGUUUUGGAUGGACUCGCGGCCUAUCAGCUUGUUGGUUGGGGUAAUGGCCCACCAAGGCGACGACGGGUAGCCGGCCUGAGAGGGUGACCGGCCACACUGGGACUGAGACACGGCCCAGACUCCUACGGGAGGCAGCAGUGGGGAAUAUUGCACAAUGGGCGAAAGCCUGAUGCAGCGACGCCGCGUGAGGGAUGACGGCCUUCGGGUUGUAAACCUCUUUCAGCAGGGAAGAAGCGAAAGUGACGGUACCUGCAGAAGAAGCGCCGGCUAACUACGUGCCAGCAGCCGCGGUAAUACGUAGGGCGCAAGCGUUAUCCGGAAUUAUUGGGCGUAAAGAGCUCGUAGGCGGUUUGUCGCGUCUGCUGUGAAAGCCCGGGGCUCAACCCCGGGUCUGCAGUGGGUACGGGCAGACUAGAGUGCAGUAGGGGAGACUGGAAUUCCUGGUGUAGCGGUGAAAUGCGCAGAUAUCAGGAGGAACACCGAUGGCGAAGGCAGGUCUCUGGGCUGUAACUGACGCUGAGGAGCGAAAGCAUGGGGAGCGAACAGGAUUAGAUACCCUGGUAGUCCAUGCCGUAAACGUUGGGCACUAGGUGUGGGGGACAUUCCACGUUUUCCGCGCCGUAGCUAACGCAUUAAGUGCCCCGCCUGGGGAGUACGGCCGCAAGGCUAAAACUCAAAGGAAUUGACGGGGGCCCGCACAAGCGGCGGAGCAUGCGGAUUAAUUCGAUGCAACGCGAAGAACCUUACCAAGGCUUGACAUGAACCGGUAAGACCUGGAAACAGGUCC
rnacentral:rRNA from 1 species